rnacentral:other from 1 species
GAUUCCCUGCGGUGUUCGAGAGCGGGCAUUUAGCAUUCUUGAGCCGACACUUGCGCGCCUUGGGGAUCCGUUGGUAGUGGCACUGGUGUGCAUGUCCGCCCUGGAGCGGAAAGCCUAAAGGGUCACUCGGGAUCCCCACCUGAACCAGAGGGUUCAAGGGCGUUGUCCGCACGGCACCGCGGGGGCUUU